GCAUAAACAAGUAUUGAGAAUCAAUGACCUUAACAGCUGUGGGUGUUCCUCCUUGAAUAAGCAUUUUAAAAUCAUCAAUACAAAGAGUGAAACAAUUUAUAUUCGAAAUAUAUUCAAUGUAUUAUUUAAACCCUUUAAAAAUAUUUCUAUUAACAGAGAAUACACAUAACUGCGAGAAUUAUCUUCUUUAAGACUUCACCUCGCCUCAAAAAAUCUUCGGACCAUGAUUUCCUCACCCUGGCACUUUUUUAAAAUAAAUGUCAAGAUAAUAUUCAUGUGAAACGGUAUAAAAAAUUAUUGUUUUACCUAUUCAUAUAUACAUUUUUAUUUAAAAUAAAUUCAGCUGAGUUGAGUUUUUUGGUAUAAAAGGCUAUGCAUAAGCUUGACUACUUCGUAUUGCAAGCAUACACUUCGCAGGCUUUAUGCUGAUAUUGUCAAAAAUGACGAAAUAUUUGCUGCUUGUUUUAAGCUUUGCUGUUAUCUGCGCUGUUAUGACUAAAGCGCAAGUCCCAAAUUGUAAAUCCCAAAUCAUACCUUUACGCCGGGGUCAACGCUUUUGCCAACUAAAUUGCCCACCUAGAAUACCACGUUUUUUAUGUAUAACUGCCACAAAGGAUAUACGAUUACCAGUGUGCCCACAUGGCUGUUGUCGGUCUGACAAUAUUUGUGUUCCAGUGAAAAGACCCGGAUAAACGGUGUUCCACUCAGUUGAUAGAAUAGAUCAUUAAUGUAAAAUUAUGUAUGUUGAAAUUUAAAUAAAUCAUAUUUGAAAGCAA